UUAUCGUUAUUAUUAUUAUCAUUAUCAUUAUUAUUAUUGUUUUACUUCUCAGAGGGCUUGGUCUUGUUUGCUCUGAUUGAUUCUGUCAGAGCGGACAGCAGCCUGUUGUCAGAGGUCUUACAGGAUCUCUUUCCGCACAUUAUAAGCUUAGAUACUUGGUUGUUAAUUAUCACGGGA